AUUGAACGCUGGCGGCAUGCCUUACACAUGCAAGUCGAACGGUAACAGGUUAAGCUGACGAGUGGCGAACGGGUGAGUAAUAUAUCGGAACGUGCCCAGUCGUGGGGGAUAACGUAGCGAAAGCUACGCUAAUACCGCAUACGAUCUACGGAUGAAAGCGGGGGAUCGCAAGACCUCGCGCGAUUGGAGCGGCCGAUAUCAGAUUAGGUUGUUGGUGAGGUAAAAGCUCACCAAGCCUGCGAUCUGUAGCUGGUCUGAGAGGACGACCAGCCACGCUGGGACUGAGACACGGUCCAGACUCCUACGGGAGGCAGCAGUGGGGAAUUUUGGACAAUGGACGCAAGUCUGAUCCAGCAAUGCCGCGUGCAGGACGAAGGCCUUCGGGUUGUAAACUGUUUUUGUACGGAACGAAACGGUGAGCUCUAAUACAGUUUGCUAAUGACGGUACCGUAAGAAUAAGCACCGGCUAACUACGUGCCAGCCGCCGCAGUAA
rnacentral:rRNA from 1 species